ACGGGACACCUGCAUCUGCCAACAAGACUGGAAGCAGAAAGGGACAGAGACGGCGAAGUUUGACGGUCUGGAAAGCAGAGACCAGCAGGGCUGACUGCUUGGGAGCACCAAAUAUCCGGACAGCGCCUCUCGGGAGGUCCGAGAAGAGAACCGCGAUCUGUUUCAGCACCGGGGCUCAGGACAGUUCCCAGCGGGCUCCGUUUCGUCUCCAGAACCCUGGACAGCUCCUCCAGCCUCCCAAAGUGCUAGGAUUACAGGCGUGAGUCACUGCGCCUGGCCCAAGUCCGGAAUUUUCAACAGGACAUGGGUGUUACUGUGCCCAUGUGACAUUUGGGGAACCCAAGGCCCUGAGAAAGGCAGAAAAAUAACCCACGCAGGGACUCUCAGCCCACAAGUGAAGCUGAGAACCGGGAAUGGAAAACAGGGAGGCAGCACAGAGGCAGGAAACUCAGGUGUCAUAGCUUGGCUCAGCUUGGAAUGCACUCCCUCCACCUCCAACCAGAGCUCCCCACAACUGACCCUGCCUUCUUCUGCAAGCUCCAUUUCAUCAAGGGAAACGAUCCUUAUUGCCUCACCAUUUCCCACGUGAAGUCUGUAUUGACAUUCUCAUAGACCUGGGAUAUUGUGUCUGCAGCACAUAGUCCAAUUAUUUUCAUGUUAUCUACUGACAGGUCUAUUUGUCUCCCUGUUACACUGUGAGCUCCGUGAGGGCAGAAACAAUGUUAGUAUUUUCACUGCUGUGUCCCCAGCGCCUGGUCCGGGGCCCGGCACACAGCAGGCAUAUAAUAAGCAUGUGUUGAAUCAAUAAAGGCAUCAAAGAAUAAACCAAUACAUCAAUCAAUAAA
rnacentral:lncRNA from 1 species